UCCAUUCAGGUAAUGAGAAGAGUUUGGACACAGAAGAGGUAGAAACUCUGGGUUCUGAGUAGGGAUGGGCUAGGAUGGGAAGUCAUGUCUGGAUUUCAAGAGUUUUUACGUCAACAACCAGGUGGAAAAAUGAUGCUAAACUCAUGUUUGCUAAUUACCUGUUUGUUAGUUUCCUCUCUUUUUUUUUGCCGGGGGGAGGCUAUGCCCAAAGCGUGUGAUGUGCAAGUCCCCAGUUCCUGGGCCAAGGAUCGAACCAGGCAGCAACCUGAGCCACUGCAGUGACAAUGCCGGAUCCUUAAUCCAUUGCACCACAAGAGAACUCACUUUUUAUUUAAUUUUUUAAGUUUUUAAACGUUUUUAUUUUUUAUUUUAUUUGUGUGUCAGUUUCCUUUUGAUGAGGGCAGGAACUCUACCACAUCCUGGGGCAUCCCCCGGCCGGGCCUGGGUCCCACUUGGGUGCUGUAUCAAAUAAUGGAGUCCAGGAGCAGACAGCACUGCUGAUUGAUAACCUUGAGCCCUAACCCCAUUCCGUGACAUCAGCAUCUGGGGUGGUGGUUUGGGUGUUCUCAGUACAGGAGAUUUUUGUGAGGGCGGCCCCUCUGCAUCACUCAGUUGUCAUCAGAUAGUUAAGAUGCCACCUCUGCAGAAGUUGGGCUGGGGGAGGAGGUGGGAACAGAACCUAGAAGUUCAACAGCCCAACCCCUCUCUUUCCAAGUUUAUCCAUCUUCGGGGGAGGGUUCCUCCGUGUUCCCUGCGAACGCUGGUGUUCCUCUGCCUUUGCAAAUGCUUACCUUGUUCUCUCCUGAGCCAAUCUUUCUUGCCUUCCUUGUUCACUUGUCAAAAUACCACCACUUCCUCGAAGCUCAUUGCAAAUGCUGUUUCUUCCAUGUGGCUUUUCCCGAUGUCCCAGCCAGAUAUGUUUUCUGCCUCCUCUGAACCCCAUAGUGGUCUAUGCCUUUCUUUUGACAUCAUCUUCUCCAGGAUUUUACCCAGUCUUUUGAGCUGGGAUGCCCACAGCGAAGGGAUAGGCCUGAAUGAUCCUUGAGUCCCUCCCACAGGGCCCAGCGCCGUCUCUUGAACCCAGUAGGCACAUGGUAAAUAUUAUUCAAAUUGAAACUGACUUCCUUCAUGACUCAUAUAUUUCAGCAGCUGCAGAACACUUGUCUCCCAAAGAUGAUUUGGGUCAGGAAUCGAAUAAUCAAAUGUCUGGGAUAUGUCAGAUGGAGAAUAUACAUAAAUGAAAUGGAACCAGUACCAGAAUAUUUUUGAUAGAGAUGCCCUUAUAAGAAAGAUUUCACUUUCUUUAUCACCUGUUAUAAGAUGAUAAGGGGCAACAGAUGCAGGGUCUCUGUUGGGAGGCGACAGGGGAUGGUGGAGACUGGGGUGAACAGAGAACAGGUGCUGAUCCAUCCACCUGAAGUUGACAACAACCUCACCUUGGCUCUAGGCAGUCAUUUCCACAGUGUUCCUGGAUAAUCUCAUAUGUCAGGAGAAGCUGUAAAUUCAGAAAUCAUGGAAAACCCUGAUUUCGAGAUCGUUUCAAAUGAUCCCCCCCUGCCUUAUUUUCCACCCUGCCAGCACUGUUGGGCAGGCCCGGCCACCAGUUUGGGACCUCUGAUUUACAUGCCAGACUUUUCCCCAGUGAGGCAAAUAGGUAAAUUUAUCUAAAAAUUGCAAGGAGACCUGGCUGCUUUUCAUUAAAAAGAAGCUGUUUGCAUCUUGUUUUUAUUCGCUAACAUUUGCUUCCCAUUGUCCUGCUUCCAAUCUGAGUGGGAACCCCAGGGUUGCUAUUAUUAAUCUGUGCCUGGAUCCCAGCUUCGUGUGGCAUAAGCACUUCUGCAGUUUGCCUUGAACUCUGUAUAACGGGCUUUUUAUUUUCCUGCAGGAGUGGUUUAAAUGGAGGCUGCAGUCUUCUGCAAGGCAUAAUUGGUUUUAAAUUGUAGGUUUAAUAAUAAUGAUGUUGGGCUUAAUGGGGUGCCUUUCAGCUUCUGCCGGCAGCCCUUGGCAACCAGUCACUCAUCGAUCCGUGUACGCACUCUCCUCAGGAGGGGACAGCUGUCAGGGCGGGGCUGAGUCCCUCAGCCCAUCCUGAAAUGGGCUACAAGGAUGAGGGGCUCAAAUGCCUGCUGUAGCUGUGGCCUCUGAAGGAGAGGGAAGCCAUAGGCACCCCCUCGUGCCCCGGGUGUGGGGGCCCGAGGCUAGACUUUCAGGGCCCUUGGUUGUCUUUUUCCUCUCUUUGUCCACCUUUGGGUCACCCCACAGCUCAUUAGGAAUGCUUUGGGAAGAUGAGCAGAGGAAUUUAAAUUCCACAGUUUGGCUUCUGUGCAGAAGGUUUAAUUGAGAGGCUACAUUAACCUAAUUGGUUAUCAUCAAGCAUCUAGCUUCUUUCUAUAUUUUAAGUCACUUCUUUUCGUUUCAUUUUACCGUGGCCAAUAGAGCGUGCCUUUAAAAGAUUAAGGCUUGUACUUUGGUCUCUUUGAGUGAAAAGAGCUUUGGUUCAGAAAUCAGCCAGGAUUCCAACGAUGACUCCUUCUAGAAUGACCUGCAUGAACGUACACGCGAUAGUCACUUCUCUUAGCCUCGUUUCCAAAGCCUUGGAUGGAUGAGGAGAUCAAAUUACAUGACCACGCAUGUCCCUUCCAGUGCUUGCGACAGAUGCCUUCGGUGUUUCUGUGAAAUGACACCAAACUCCACCUUGGUUGACAUUUGGUGGGUUUCAAAAGUCAAUAAAAAUACCAAUCUACAUAUGUUAUACAACAGACUAACUGAGGCUUGGACAAGUGAGGGCUUGUUCAGCAAAAACUCAGCGUUUAUGUUAUAAAAAGCACAGAGAAGGAUGUUGGUGUCGUGUGAUGUGGGGCAUCCUGCUUGAAAAUUACAGGCAGCACAGUCAAUGACAGGGUAGCAGCACCCGCGGCCGGCUGACGAGCGCCCUUUGGAGGUUUCUCAGGGUCCGCCCUAGGGACAAAGCACAGACGUUCAGAACUGGCGGUCUAGCUCACCAUCGAUGACAAGCAGCUCCUCAUCUGUGUCGGGAUCUGAACUGCCUUGGCUUCGACCACUGUUUCUGGAUGGCUCUUUGUUUUUGUUGUAAACAGGAGCAAAUUAUAACAUGGGAAGAAUGGAAAUAGGAAGGGGUAAGAAUGGAAAUAAGAAGCCUGAAGAAGUUUCUCUGGGCUCGGAAGUCUGCAGUGGCCAUUUGGACCAGCGUUUUUUUGUUUCGUUUUGUCUUUUUGUCCUUUUAGGGCUGCACCCGAGGCAUAUGGAAGUUCCCAGGCUAAGGGGUCUAAUCGGAGCUGUAGCUGCCGGCCUACGCCAGGGACACAGCAACGUGGGAUCCGAGCUGCGUCUGCAACCUACACCACAGUUCAUGGCAAUGCCGGAUCCUUAACCCACUGAGCAAGGGCAGGGAUCAAACCUGCAACCUCAUGGUUCCUAGUCAUAUUUGUUAACACUGUGCCACGAUGGGAACUCCUGGACCAACGUUUUGAAGGAAGUGGUGCCCCAGAGUGUGAAGGUGGCACACAGGGAAUACCCACUUUUGUACAAAUGUCACCUGCAAAAAGCUGAUCAGACAGCUGCAUGCAGCCUCCCUUGCUCCUCUUUUGGGCACGCUUUGUUCCCGGAGGCUCCAGAUCCACGCAUCAGCAGACUUGAGCGCUGUGUCACUUUCACUUUUUUUCUUGAUCUUUAGGUGCUGUGUUGUAUUUUUUGGCAGGGAAAAAAAAAUGGACAACCGAAGUUAGGUUUUGUUCUCUCAAAGUAAACUCCUUAAAAAGGAUGAAGCUAAUGUGAAUGAUAGAUUCAGCGGAGAGGGAAACCACGUCGUUUUCCCCCGCAACCCCACUGGCCCCAGAAUCAAUUUGCCCACCUCUCUGUGAAAUGAGCUUCCAGUGGCAGAUAUUAGCAGCUAGUGAAGGCAAUCUGGCCUUUGAGAGGAGAGGAAGAGCUGGCUGGACUACGAGGCUGCUCUGAAGAGCUAGACGUGGCCACAAACAACUGCCCACGCUGACACCAAUUCUGAGAAGUAGGGUCAAAAUUUUGAGGUCUACAGAUUAGCUGCAUAAGGCUAUUGUCUUUAGAUUUCGUAGGAAGGCUGGACUACUAUGUUGCUGGCCACUAAGGUGUCAAUGGCUGUGAUUGAGACCUUCACAUGCAACCUCGGCUGUGCAGGAAUGGGACAUGGAAUAGGUUAGUUCUGAUGGGGAAAGGCAAGGACAGCACUCGCAGAAGGUGAGUUCAGGUGAAGCAUGGCAGGGAGAGGCAGCCAGGUGCCUCCAGGACCUGGCGUGUGUCUGCAUGUGCCUGUGCAGAGCUCAAGGUCAGAUGCUUGCUUACUGUUGACAGAAGAGACCUUCAGGGAUGAGGCCUGGGGUUACGAUGGGGUUAAGAAACGUUCAGAGUUUUUCUAAGGCCAGUUGCACAAAAGCUGUCAGCUCUCUGAGGGUAAGGACCAUUUCCUCUUUUCAUCAUCACAUCCCCAGCGUCUACCAACUGAUAUAACUACUCAUUACUAUUUAGCAGAUAAUUAGGUAAAAGGAAGGGGAGAGAAACUUGGGAAGACCUCACACUAGUGCUGAUCAGCAUUCCAUUGGCCCACUAGGGAUUCUGUGGCUGCCGAGGCACUGUGGCCAGGUCAGCCAUGGGGACCCUCUAGUGGGGGACCAGUACAAGAACCGACCUCCUCUGGAUGCUUGAAGCAGAAAAAAUAUUUAUUGAAAGGACGUUGGGCAGCCCACAGAGCCAGCAGGGCCUGCAGGGGGAGUCCAGGUAGACUGCGGGAAGACAGCCAGGCGGCUCACGGGGCUGGUCCGGGGACCUUGGGCUGACUCCACACCCGCAGCACAGCUGUGUAUCCCUGACAUUGUCCUGCUGCUUCUGGCCCCUCAGUGCUGCCCCCUGCAGAGAACUCCUUCGAAAGGACUCCUAGAUCCCAAGUCCAAGGGGAGAAGGGCCAGGCCUCCCCCCACUGGUGGGCUUGGGUCCUGACUGUCCCUGCAAUGGCCAGCCUGCUGGGAAGCAGGCACUGCCUUACGUAGGACAUGGGGGAGCCCCUCCUUCCAAGCCGAUGAAGUAGGGUGGCCAUGCUGGGUGGCCAAGAAAAAGACACAGUGUCCCCUGGGGGCAGGAGCCGGAAGAACCCUCAGUGUGAUGAGUAAUCCGGUUAAUUAAGCAAAUAUGAAGAAACAAAACAAAAAUAGCACUGUGUGCAUUUUAGAAUUUCACUUUGUGUCAAAUCAGGCAUGACAAGGGCCAGCAGGUUACAGUGUAUUCAGAAUAUGUUAAUGGCAGUUCCCAGGGGCUAUGACAGCUCAUUGGCUGACAUGAAUGAUGUGACAUUCUUAAGGAAAAGUCUCAAAGUGAAAGAGAAUGUCAAGGUGGCUUUGCUGUUGGUUCAGCCCCACCAGAGCAUCAGAGAGCUUUUCCAAGUCUGGGUGAGCAUGAGGUGAGCCCUGACUCUGCCCCUUUCCUCCCCAGGAGCCAUGGGCUGUGCGGGGCUGUGGUUUUCCUGGAGCCCCAUGUCACAAGGAGCCAGCCAGGCCGUCAACCCAGCCCCGCACCCUAUAAAGUGCUCUGGCUUCUGAGGGUGAAUUAACUCUUGUUUUUAUUGUGCCAUUAAUUCCAGCUCCUGCCUGUCUCCCUAAUGCAUUCCACAUGCCUGGUCCCUUCUGCCCGCAGCUGUCACUGCCCAGGCCGGGGGCUUGCUCGGCUGUCCCUUGCGGCUUGUCAGCCUGUCUGCUGGCAGUUCUGUCCACCUCCCAAGAGAGGUGCCUCCCCUCCUCCUUUCUUGGCCAUGGUAGAGUCUAGGCUUUUUGAGGGCCUGGACUUCAGGGCACUUGUAUUUAAUUUAAUUAAUUUAUUUAUUUAUUUAUGCCUUUUUAAGGGCCAUACCUGCGGUACAUGGGAGUUCCCAGGCUAGGGGUCCAUUGGAGCUGCAGCUGCCGGCCUACACCGCAGCCACAGCAACACUGGAUCCGAGCUACAUCCGUAAUCUACACCUCAGCUGGUGGCAAUGCUGGAUCCUUAACUCACUGAGCAAGGCCAGGGAUUGAACCUGCUUCCUCAUGGAUAUUAGUUGGGUUCUUAACCUGCUGGAGCCACAGAGGAAAUUCCCAAGGCACUUGUAUUUUAUACCUUUCCUGAACCUGACACUUAGCUGGGGCUCAACAAAUUCUUUUCAAAUUAGCUGAAAGGUGAAGAGGUGAACUUAUCUGACAUGUCUGGACCAGCUUUUUUAGGGGGUACCUGGUAUUAUCUGUGGAUGGCUUUUUUGGGUUGCAGAUUUUGAGGACCUUUUGUGUAAAGGUGUGAAGAGAAGGGUUGGCUACAAGGCACUGGAACAUGGCUUAAAAGGCAGAUGUUCUGCUCCCCUGAAGAUUUCAAAGGCAUGUAUGAGCAGCAGUCAACCCAACUUAACCAAUUGACAAGUAGCUGGAUGGAUGCUUGUGGGAUGGAUAGAAGAAAAGUAAACAACUUUGUAUUUUAAUAAAUUUUUUUACUUAAAAAAACAAAACAAACAAACAAAACAAAUUCUUUUCAGUCAGUGAAAGAUUCAAAGCGCCUUGGAAGGCAGGUGCCACCGCUCGGGGAGAGCAAGGGCUGGGAGUCUUCCCAGUGGAGGUGGUGGUGGGUCGGGCCACCUUUCAGCCAAGGUGCCGAGUGAUGGGACAUCCCAGAGCUUGGCAGAUGUGCGGGGCCUGGGAGGGGACAGUGGAGGAGGGCUCCGCGCUCUGAUCUGGAGGGGCAGCUCCCUGGGCAGCACGCUGUGCUUGCGUGGCUCCUGGGCUGGGGAAGGGGCAGAUGAUGGGAGGGUGACGGCCGCCCGGAGGAUGUACCACCUCACAGGUGGGCCCCAGACAGACCUGCUCGAUACAGUCCCAUAAUCGUGUCAGCUUCAAGUGGGAAAUCCUCUCAUUUUGAGUUUUCCAAAAUGUGUACUUUCGGGAGUCUUCCUUCCCUGUCUCCCUUCCUGCCUUCUUCUUUCUCUCCCUCCCUCCUUCCCUGCCUGGACUCCCUCCUCUCCUCCCUUCCUGCCCUCCCCACCCAUCCUUCCUCUCUCCCUCCCGCCUUCCCUCCCUUCCUUCCUUCCUCUUUCCCUUCCCUUUCUAACUUUCCCCUUCUAUCUUCUCUCCAAAAGCAGAAGGGCAGAAAUGGCACCCCUGGGGGAUAAAUGUGUCCAUUUCAGAAUUUGCCCAUUUCCUCCUGAAGUAUGGAAAGCCUACAGUCUCUGCCUUAAAAACGAAAUGCUAGAGGAGUUCCCGUCAUGGCUCAGUGGUUAAGGAACCCGACUGGUAUCCAUGAGGAUGCGGGUUCGAUCCCGGGCCUCACUCAGUGGGUUAAGGAUCUGGCUUCGCCGUGAGCUGUGGUGUAGGUCACAGACCCGGCUCAGAUCUGGUGUUGCUGUGGCUGUGAUGUAGGCUGGCAGCUGUAGCUCUGAUCUGACCGCUAGCCUGGGAACUUCCAUAUGCUGUGAGGGCGGCCGUAAAAAGACAGGGAAAAAAAAAAAGCCAGAGUGUCAGGGCAAGAGCUCCACUCUUCCUUAACCGCCUCCCACCCCUCCCUCCUCUCGCUCCCCACGGGUUCUCUCAUUACAGUCUGUUCCUGGUCCUGCCUGACUGUUCCCCACGUCUUCCUCCUCCUCCACCUCAGUUUCCAGCAGGUUCUCACCCUCUCUGAGCCAUUAGCUUUGCCCCAGUUCUAACCCCGUUAGCAAGACUCUUACAAGCCGUGAUCAGCGAACCCCCACGCCAGAACUAAUCAUCAGCCCCCACCUCCCUUUGUCUGUGCCCACCCACUCCCCCACCUUCUUACUCUACCGUCUCCAUUGUUGUUAUUCCUGGAUGCCUGGGAGGGAACAGCGUGAGCUAGCUGCUGCAGAGUCAACAUGUAUUGGGACCACCCUACUCACAGCCACAGUUUUAAAAAGGAUGCAUUUGAAAAAAAAAAAAAAA
rnacentral:lncRNA from 1 species